AACAACCUGAGAUGUGCGACAACUCCUGUUAUUUUUGAACCUACAGAUACUUUAAACGGGAUUCCUAUAUCAUCUGGCGGCUGUCAAGCCCUCACUCAUUUGAGGAUUGGAAGGGAAGGCAAAAGUGAGAUUGCGGUCACCCACCUAGCUUGGCUAGGAGUCAAAAGACAGGAACCGGCAUUUUGGGGAUAA
rnacentral:other from 1 species